GUAAAUUUACUCAGGAAAUAUCCAGUAGUAUUACAUGCCAAGCCUAUUGUAAGAACUUUAUCAAUAUGAUCUCCUUAAUCCUUGCAGCAACGCUCUGACAGAUGGUGUUAUCCUGAUUUUGCAAGUGAAGAAACGGAAGCUCAAUGAGACUAAACUUGCCUAAGGUUACGUAGUUGUCAAGGGGCAAAAUCAGGAUUUGAAAUGAGGUCUGUCUUUUCUCUUUCUGUUAAAGGGCUUCUUUGAUGCCAACCCAGACCCUCCCAACCUCUGCCUCCUCCUGGACUGGCCUGGUGCUGACCCACCAUCCAUCUGCAUGUCUCCCACUGCCUGCCAUUGCAGCAGGACCACGUGGCCCACCCUUCUGAGAUGUUCCAGUCCUUCGCAUUCUGUCUGAGCCCCAGAGAUGGGGUUUCACCGUGUUAACCAGGAUGGUCUCGAUCUCCUGACCUCGUGAUCCGCCCGCCUCGGCCUCCCAAAGUGCUGGGAUUACAGGCGUGAGCCACCGUGCCCCGCCCAUCUCUUCAUGUUAAGUGCCUUAAUUUAAUCAAAUCUGUAAAGUCCCUUUUGCCACAUAAGAGAACAUGUGCACAGAUUGUGGGGAUUCAGGGCCAUUAUUCUGCCCCUACGUGUGGUCAUUGGCUGCCUGGCAGAUGACCUGCAGCCUGGUUUGGCAGCUGGAGCCGUGGCUGCUCCCCUCAGGACCUGAAUCUGAGGUGAUAUCAGCCAAGGCAACAAUGACUUGACCAGACUGUGGCCUCCUUGGUUCCUGCUGGUUUUCCAAGCCUGAUUCUCGGCCUUCUGGUUAAUUUCAUGAGCUACCUAAAGCCUGCCAAUAAAUUAUUUCUUGCAUAAAUUACCCAGAGCCAGUAUAUGUUACUUAUAAUCAAGAAUGUUGACUGAGAGGCUGGGCAUGUGGCUUACGUCUGUAAUCCCAGCACUUUGGGAGGCUGAGGUGGGAGGAUGACUUUAGCCCAGGAGUUCCAGACCAGACUGGGCAAUAUAGUGACACCCUAUA
rnacentral:lncRNA from 1 species